GACGGCUUGCUGAAGCGCGCACGGCAAGAGGCGUC
rnacentral:misc_RNA from 1 species